AUGAACGCUGGCGGCGUGCCUAAUACAUGCAGGUCGAGCGAACAGACGAGGAGCUUGCUCCUCUGACGUUAGCGGCGGACGGGUGAGUAACACGUGGAUAACCUACCUAUAAGACUGGGAUAACUUCGGGAAACCGGAGCUAAUACCGGAUAAUAUAUUGAACCGCAUGGUUCAAUAGUGAAAGACGGUUUUGCUGUCACUUAUAGAUGGAUCCGCGCCGCAUUAGCUAGUUGGUAAGGUAACGGCUUACCAAGGCAACGAUGCGUAGCCGACCUGAGUGGGUGAUCGGCCACACUGGAACUGAGACACGGUCCAGACUCCUACGGGAGGCAGCAGUAGGGAAUCUUCCGCAAUGGGCGAAAGCCUGACGGAGCAACGCCGCGUGAGUGAUGAAGGUCUUCGGAUCGUAAAACUCUGUUAUUAGGGAAGAACAAAUGUGUAAGUAACUAUGCACGUCUUGACGGUACCUAAUCAGAAAGCCACGGCUAACUACGUG
rnacentral:rRNA from 1 species